GGGUUGUGAGGUUAAGCGACUAAGCGUACACGGUGGAUGCCCUGGCAGUCAGAGGCGAUGAAGGACGUGCUAAUCUGCGAAAAGCGUCGGUAAGGUGAUAUGAACCGUUAUAGCCGGCGAUGUCCGAAUGGGGAAACCCAGUGUGAUUCGUCACACUAUCGUUAACUGAAUACAUAGGUUAACGAGGCGAACCGGGGGAACUGAAACAUCUAAGUACCCCGAGGAAAAGAAAUCAACCGAGAUUCCCCCAGUAGCGGCGAGCGAACGGGGAGCAGCCCAGAGUCUGAAUCAGCUUGUGUGUUAGUGGAACGGUCUGGAAAGUCCGACGGUACAGGGUGAUAGUCCCGUACACCAAAAUGCACAGGCUGUGAACUCGAAGAGUAGGGCGGGACACGUGGUAUCCUGUCUGAAUAUGGGGGGACCAUCCUCCAAGGCUAAAUACUCCUGACUGACCGAUAGUGAACCAGUACCGUGAGGGAAAGGCGAAAAGAACCCCGGCGAGGGGAGUGAAAAAGAACCUGAAACCGUGUACGUACAAGCAGUGGGAGCACCUUCGGGUGUGACUGCGUACCUUUUGUAUAAUGGGUCAGCGACUUAUAUUCUGUAGCAAGGUUAACCGUAUAGGGGAGCCGCAGGGAAACCGAGUCUUAACUGGGCGUUAAGUUGCAGGGUAUAGACCCGAAACCCGGUGAUCUAGCCAUGGGCAGGUUGAAGGUUGGGUAACACUAACUGGAGGACCGAACCGACUAAUGUUGAAAAAUUAGCGGAUGACUUGUGGCUGGGGGUGAAAGGCCAAUCAAACCGGGAGAUAGCUGGUUCUCCCCGAAAGCUAUUUAGGUAGCGCCUCGUGAACUCAUCUUCGGGGGUAGAGCACUGUUUCGGCUAGGGGGUCAUCCCGACUUACCAACCCGAUGCAAACUACGAAUACCGAAGAAUGUUAUCACGGGAGACACACGGCGGGUGCUAACGUCCGUCGUGAAGAGGGAAACAACCCAGACCGCCAGCUAAGGUCCCAAAGUCAUGGUUAAGUGGGAAACGAUGUGGGAAGGCACAGACAGCCAGGAUGUUGGCUUAGAAGCAGCCAUCAUUUAAAGAAAGCGUAAUAGCUCACUGGUCGAGUCGGCCUGCGCGGAAGAUGUAACGGGGCUAAACCAUGCACCGAAGCUGCGGCAGCGACGCUUAUGCGUUGUUGGGUAGGGGAGCGUUCUGUAAGCCUGCGAAGGUGGCCUGUGAGGGUUGCUGGAGGUAUCAGAAGUGCGAAUGCUGACAUAAGUAACGAUAAAGCGGGUGAAAAGCCCGCUCGCCGGAAGACCAAGGGUUCCUGUCCAACGUUAAUCGGGGCAGGGUGAGUCGACCCCUAAGGCGAGGCCGAAAGGCGUAGUCGAUGGGAAACAGGUUAAUAUUCCUGUACUUGGUGUUACUGCGAAGGGGGGACGGAGAAGGCUAUGUUAGCCGGGCGACGGUUGUCCCGGUUUAAGCAUGUAGGCUGGUUAUCCAGGCAAAUCCGGAUAAUCAAGGCUGAGGUGUGAUGACGAGGCACUACGGUGCUGAAGUAACAAAUGCCCUGCUUCCAGGAAAAGCCUCUAAGCAUCAGGUAACAUCAAAUCGUACCCCAAACCGACACAGGUGGUCAGGUAGAGAAUACCAAGGCGCUUGAGAGAACUCGGGUGAAGGAACUAGGCAAAAUGGUGCCGUAACUUCGGGAGAAGGCACGCUGGUGUGUAGGUGAAGUCCCUGCGGAUGGAGCUGAGACCAGUCGAAGAUACCAGCUGGCUGCAACUGUUUAUUAAAAACACAGCACUGUGCAAACACGAAAGUGGACGUAUACGGUGUGACGCCUGCCCGGUGCCGGAAGGUUAAUUGAUGGGGUUAUCCGUAAGGAGAAGCUCUUGAUCGAAGCCCCGGUAAACGGCGGCCGUAACUAUAACGGUCCUAAGGUAGCGAAAUUCCUUGUCGGGUAAGUUCCGACCUGCACGAAUGGCGUAAUGAUGGCCAGGCUGUCUCCACCCGAGACUCAGUGAAAUUGAACUCGCUGUGAAGAUGCAGUGUACCCGCGGCAAGACGGAAAGACCCCGUGAACCUUUACUAUAGCUUGACACUGAACAUUGAGCCUUGAUGUGUAGGAUAGGUGGGAGGCUUUGAAGCGUGGACGCCAGUCUGCGUGGAGCCAACCUUGAAAUACCACCCUUUAAUGUUUGAUGUUCUAACGUUGGCCCCUUACCGGGGUUGCGGACAGUGUCUGGUGGGUAGUUUGACUGGGGCGGUCUCCUCCCAAAGCGUAACGGAGGAGCACGAAGGUUAGCUAAUCCUGGUCGGACAUCAGGAGGUUAGUGCAAUGGCAUAAGCUAGCUUGACUGCGAGCGUGACGGCGCGAGCAGGUGCGAAAGCAGGUCAUAGUGAUCCGGUGGUUCUGAAUGGAAGGGCCAUCGCUCAACGGAUAAAAGGUACUCCGGGGAUAACAGGCUGAUACCGCCCAAGAGUUCAUAUCGACGGCGGUGUUUGGCACCUCGAUGUCGGCUCAUCACAUCCUGGGGCUGAAGUAGGUCCCAAGGGUAUGGCUGUUCGCCAUUUAAAGUGGUACGCGAGCUGGGUUUAGAACGUCGUGAGACAGUUCGGUCCCUAUCUGCCGUGGGCGCUGGAGAAUUGAGGGGGGCUGCUCCUAGUACGAGAGGACCGGAGUGGACGCAUCACUGGUGUUCGGGUUGUCAUGCCAAUGGCACUGCCCGGUAGCUAAAUGCGGAAGAGAUAAGUGCUGAAAGCAUCUAAGCACGAAACUUGCCCCGAGAUGAGUUCUCCCUGAGACUUUAAGUCUCCUGAAGGAACGUUAAAGACGAUGACGUUGAUAGGCCGGGUGUGUAAGCGCAGCGAUGCGUUGAGCUAACCGGUACUAAUGAACCGUGAGGCUUAACCUUACAACGCCGAAG
rnacentral:rRNA from 1 species